rnacentral:rRNA from 1 species
AUCCUGGCUCAGGAUGAACGCUAGCUACAGGCUUAACACAUGCAAGUCGAGGGGCAGCAUUAUCGAAGCUUGCUUGAUAGAUGGCGACCGGCGCACGGGUGAGUAACGCGUAUCCAACCUUCCCAUCACUCAGGGAUAGCCCGCCGAAAGGCGAAUUAAUACCUGAUGGUCUCCUUUGCAGACAUCUAACGAGGAGUAAAGAUUCAUUGGUGAUGGAUGGGGAUGCGUCUGAUUAGGUAGUAGGCGGGGUAACGGCCCACCUAGCCGACGAUCAGUAGGGGUUCUGAGAGGAAGGUCCCCCACAUUGGAACUGAGACACGGUCCAAACUCCUACGGGAGGCAGCAGUGAGGAAUAUUGGUCAAUGGACGGAAGUCUGAACCAGCCAAGUAGCGUGCAAGGAUGACGGCCCUAUGGGUUGUAAACUGCUUUUGUGCGGGAAUAAAGUAUGGGACGUGUCCCACUUUGCAUGUACCGCACGAAUAAGGACCGGCUAAUUCCGUGCCAGCAGCAGC